UACGUAUGGUGCAAGCGUUAUCCGGAAUUAUUGGGCGUAAAGCGUCCGCAGGUGGUUUUGUUAGUCUGUGGUUAAAGCCCGGGGCUCAACCCCGGAAUCGUCACGGAAACUACAAAACUUGAGGUAUGCAGGGGCAGAUGGAAUUCCAGAAGUAGGGGUAAAAUCCGUAGAUCUCUGGGGGAACACCAAACGCGAAGGCAUUCUGCUGGGCAUUACCUGACACUCAUGGACGAAAGCGUGGGGAGCAAACGGG
rnacentral:misc_RNA from 1 species